rnacentral:tRNA from 1 species
UCCCUGGUAGUUCAAUGGCUAGAACACCAUGCUCCCAAUGCAGGGGGCCCAGGUUUGAUCCCCGGUCAGGGAA